rfam:Oryza sativa (indica cultivar-group) chromosome 9, whole genome shotgun sequence.
AAUAAGUACAGUUUUAUACUGCAUGUCCAACGUUUGAUUGUUCGUCUUUUGAAUUUUUUUAUAAUUAGUAUUUUUAAUGUUAUUAGAUGAUAAAAUAUGAACAAUACUUCAUGUCGGACUAAUUUUUUUAAAUUUUUAUAUAAAAUUUUCAAAUAAAAUGGACGGUCAAACAUUAGACACGGAUACACACACAUGCACUUAUU